CCUACGGGAGGCUGCAGUGGGGAAUUUUGGACAAUGGGGGCAACCCUGAUCCAGCCAUGCCGCGUGAGUGAAGAAGGCCUUCGGGUUGUAAAGCUCUUUCGGCCGGGAAGAAAUCGCUCAAGCUAAUACCUUGGGUGGAUGACGGUACCGGAAGAAGAAGCACCGGCUAACUACGUGCCAGCAGCCGCGGUAAUACGUAGGGUGCGAGCGUUGAUUGGAGUUACUGGGCGUAAAGCGUGAGGACGGAGGGGAAAGCCCCUGGCUUAACCUGGGAACUGCGUUUGUGACUGUGGUGCUCGAGUGCGGCAGAGGGGGGUGGAAUUCCACGUGUAGCAGUGAAAUGCGUAGAGAUGUGGAGGAACACCGAUGGCGAAGGCAGCCCCCUGGGUCGACACUGACGCUCAUGCACGAAAGCGUGGGGAGCAAACAGGAUUAGAUACCCCUGUAGUC
rnacentral:rRNA from 1 species